rnacentral:rRNA from 1 species
CGCGUAGGUGGUAGUGAAAGUCUAUGGUGGAAUCUUAGGGCUUAACCCUAAAACUGCCUUGGAAACUUCAUUACUUGAGUCAGUGAGGGGAGGGUAGAAUUCCUGGUGUAGCGGUGAAAUGCGUAGAUAUCAGGAGGAAGGCCGGUGGCGAAGGCGGCCCUCUGGCGCUGAACUGACGCUGAGGCGCGAAAGCGUGGGUAGCAAACAGGAUUAGAUAUCCUGGUAGUCCACGCCCUAAACGGUGGGUACUAGGUGUAGGGCUCGUAAGGGUUCUGUGCCGAAGGGAAACCAUUAAGUACCCCGCCUGGGGAGUACGGCCGCAAGGUUGAA